CCUGUUAGCUGGUCAUCGCUUUUUGAAAUAUAAAAGAGGAAAGUCCGGACAGUAAAGGGCAGCACAGCGGCUAAUUACCGCUUUCCUUUUUUUAAUUAGGGGAAAAGAUAGUGCCACAGAAAAUAACUACCGCCCUUUAUGGGCUGGAAAAGGUGAAAAUGUGGGGUAAAAGCCCACAGUAAUUUUUGGUAACAAAUUUUACGGGUAAACCUUGUGUACUGAAAUGCCAAAUAAACCCCGAAUUUCCGCUGGCCCGGCGGAGUUGCAUUUAUGGAUGUCGGGAAGGGUAGGCAGAAAGAUUGAUGCAGUAAUGCAUCAGCUAGAUAAAUGAUGGCCGUUCUGCAUUGCAGAAUUACAAAAUCCGGCUUAUGGCUAACAGGUUUU
rnacentral:RNase_P_RNA from 2 species